GUCAGUGUGGUGUAAUGAUAUGAGUGUUGGACUACAACUCCGGAGAUCAGGGUUCAAUUCCCUGUUUGGCCA